rnacentral:rRNA from 1 species
GACGAACGCUGGUGGCGUGCUUAACACAUGCAAGUCGAACGGGAUUUCGUAAACAGAAGCCUCGGUGGAAGAUUACUAAUGAGAGUGGCGAACGGGUGAGUAACGCGUGAGCAACCUGCCUAUGACAGUGGGAUAGCCUCGGGAAACCGGGAUUAAUACCGCAUAAAAUCGUAGAAACACAUGUUUUAACGGUCAAAGAUUUAUCGGUCAUAGAUGGGCUCGCGUCUGAUUAGCUAGUUGGUGAGAUAACAGCCCACCAAGGCGACGAUCAGUAGCCGGUCUGAGAGGAUGAACGGCCACAUUGGAACUGAGACACGGUCCAAACUCCUACGGGAGGCAGCAGUGGGGAAUAUUGCACAAUGGGGGAAACCCUGAUGCAGCGACGCCGCGUGAACGAAGAAGGUAUUCGUAUCGUAAAGUUCUGUCCUAUGGGAAGAUAAUGACAGUACCAGAGAAGAAAGCUCCGGCUAAAUACGUG